GCUGGCGCUCGACCCGCGCCUGCCGGAAGUGCGGGGUUACGUCAUCCGGCGAAGAGAUGCCCCGCCCCUGACCCCGCCCCCAACACGGAAGCAGAGGCGGCGCGCGCAGAGCAGGUUUAUUGAACAACAGACAGCACGCGGCGGUUAACAGCUGGCGGGCUCCAUGCUGGACUUGAGAUCAAGACCUGAGGUGAAAUCAAAAGACUCCAAAGCCUAACCAACUUAGCCACCCAUGUGCACCUAUUUCAGACUUCUGGACUCCAGAACCCCUGGUGAUGCUGCUCCAAGGCCUGGUCCAUGGCAACCUGGAUGGAAUCUUGCACUGCGCUGUGGCUCUCCAUGAGGAUGGCACUGAGAUGAGUGCACACCCAAACUGGCAGCCCCUAUACCUACUCCACAGUUCUGUUUGCUGGACUGGAAAUCCGCUGUGAAAAUCCACAAAGAGAAAAAGCAGCAGCGUUUGUCCCUGGGAGUCCAUAUUCUGAGACUGAUCUCCCACACUGGAUUCCACCUGAUAACUCACAUCUGGAAGCAGCAAAUCUAGAGGACAAGAUAUUACACGAGUUGACAGAUUAAGGUACGACAGCAACCCUCUGAACAAGUCAUUACAAGAUGGAGGCCUACUGACUAUCUCUAGAGAACCAGGAAGAGAGAAGGCAGUAGAAGAAAUGCGAGGAAAACCAGCAUUAACAGGGUACACAUGAAGAAUUAAGUGUGAAGAUUAAAAUCCUCUCCCGUAGGCACAAUGAAAAGUCCCAGCAGAACAAGGCAAGACAGUAUCCCUAAAUGAAGUCGCUGUCACAAAUCCAAGAUAUUUACACAGGAGCUAAGGCCAACACAUUCACUUUUUAGAGCCAGGGGAGCUUUGAGGUACUGCGAACUUAGUAAGAGUGGAGUGUCUGAAGAGUCAAAAUGUGUGACUAUCUUUUCAUUGGGUUGUUGAAACCAUUUACUUUUAAUAUAAGUACUGUUAUGGUUGGAUUUAAAUCUACCAUCUUAUUAUGUGUUUUGCAUUUGUUUCUUGUAUUUCCCUCUUUUCUAUUUUUGGAUUCUAUUUUGGACUCAGUGUUUUUUUGGUAAUUCCAUUUUUAACCUCCUUUUUGACUUACUCGUUUUAAUUCUUUGCUGUAAUAACUUAGGGAUUGCUUUAGGCUUUAUAGUAUACAACUUUAUCACUACCUACUUUUAAGUGAUAUUAUAAGAGUUAACACACAUAAAGUAUAAGAAUCCUGCAAAAAUACUUCCAUUCCCCCCCCUUGGUCUUCGUACUAUUGUCACUCAUUUUACUGUGACAUAGCAUAUAAAUCUUAUAUACCAAUGGCUUUUUUUUUUUUUUUUUUUUUUUUGCUUUAAAAAGACAACUAUCAGGGUACCUGUGUGGCUCAGUGAGUUAAGCCUCUGCCUUGGGCCCAGGUCACUAUCUCAGGGUCUUGGGAUCGAGCCCCAUAUCACACUCUCUGCUGGCCGGGGAGUCUGCCUCCCCCUCUCUCUUGCCUGCCUCUCUGCCUAAUUGUGAUCUCUCUGUCAAACAAAUAAAAUCUUUAAAAAAUAAAAAUAAAAAUAUUUUUAAAGUCACUGUCUUAUUUUUAAAAAUACGGCAAAAAUCUUUUAUAUCUAUUCACAUAG